UACGUAGGGAGCAAGCGUUGUCCGGAAUCAUUGGGCGUAAAGCGCGCGUAGGCGGCUCGAUCAGUCUGUUGUGAAAGUCAAAGGCUCAACCUUUGAAUGCCGAUGGAUACUGUCGAGCUAGAGUCCGGAAGAGGCGGGUGGAAUUCUCGGUGUAGCGGUGAAAUGCGUAGAUAUCGAGAGGAACACCUGCGGCGAAGGCGGGUUGCUGGGCCGACACUGACGCUGAUGCGCGAAAGCCAGGGGAGCGAACGGG
rnacentral:rRNA from 1 species